CUAGAAAGGGUAUGUUACCAGGUAACGUUGGAUGUUCUGGCAGUGCCUGCAAAGACCAAGAAACCAUGUAAAAUCUGUGAUAUGGUAGUCUGCAACUCAGGUGAAUAGUUGCUUGCUCUGUCACAGGUGACGUCUGCAGAGUACUCUGCUGAUUUGGAUGCUUGGCUCUGUCUGGAUAUUGGUGAAAUGGGAUUGUUCAAGACACAGGAUGAGGAACAGUGGCUGUAUUACUUCAUGAUUUGGAAGGGGACUUCAGGGUCUGCAUAGAUCACCAUUUCACUAUUACAAGCUACAUAGAUAAAAUUGCUUUUCCUGGGCGAAAAGAGGCGGUUGCUCUGGGAAAACUGGUUGCUGCAAGUAGUUGAUUUAGCAUUGCAGGCGUGCCUGGGUUUUCAAAUGCCGAGGAGCACCAGGAAUAAAAUUAUCACUAUGCUGGGCUGAUGUGGUGUAUAUAAUCCACUGUGAAUGUAUUUAUUUCUAUUUUAACCGUGGCUAGUCAGCAUUUCUAAACUGUAGCUAGCCUCCAGCCUGGAUACAAACAAAUCCCUCAAACUGAGCAGAAUUGGAGCGGGCUAACAGUGCUUAGAUGUAAUUUCUCAGCAAUCCCAAGUCACUGCAAUGUAUUUCUGUAUUGGCAGGAGCAAUGGAAAUGCUACUGAUGGUCAGAUAGCAACAGCAACUGUGCUGAUUAGCUCUACAUUGAACCGGGCAGUGCUGAAUCAGUACGAAAAGAAACCAGGGUUGCUUGUACCUGCAGAACAAGUUGUUGCCAUAAACAGUCAAAUGGCAGAAGCUUUAGUACAGCAUCAGGAUUUAAGAAAAAUCCUACUGUAGACAAGAAUGUAGCUGGCUGAGUGAACCAGCAGGACAGUAUGCGUAUGGAGAUUGUACUGCAGGAGAUAAAGCGUAAGCCCUGGUCUCCUUGGAAAAGCUAGUGUACAGGAAGCCAAAGCAUGAAAUUAUAGUAUACCAGCCAGUUUAUAGUGGAAAAUGUGUGCUGCUUCACUUUCAAUCCUUUUUUUUUUUUUUCCACAGGGCUGUUGCAAUGAGAAGUAAAACAGCUGCUGUAAAGCCUAGGAAGUGACAUGAUUCCUGUGAACAGUUGUAAAAAAAAUUCAGAGAUAUUUAUGAAUGGAAAGCAUUAUAUACAUAAAAUACAUUAUAAACAGGAUUGUGUGUUUGAGCUAUCAUCAAGGCAUCUUCCAUUUAAGGUAUUGCAUAAAGUUACAUGAAACCAUUAAAUUAAAUUUUCCUCUGUCUUCUUUCUGAGAUUUUUAUCAUUUACAUAAUGAGAAGACAAAAUCCUAUUUGAAGAGUUUCAAGUUCAGCCCAGCAUUCCUGUAGCCCACUGAAGUCAGUGGCAGAGUUAGAUUUAACUCCAUACACGUACUUGAUAAGAAAUAAUAGGGUGAGAAAAAUGAGAAAACAGGGAACAAAAAGUGUUCUACUUGCAGUAAGAAAUGUUUGGGUUUGUUGGGUUUUUUUUUUUUUACUUUUUUCCUUCCUGAACAAUGUUCUUUUCUUUUUUAAGGUGCUUAAGAUAACUAAGCUACAGUAAGCCAUUAUUGUGAUUGUUUGUUCAGCACUCAAAACGUAAUGUACAUUUUACAGAACAAAUAAAUGCCCUUCCCCGUAGAGAUUGCAAGCUAAAUUUUUUCACAUGUGAGAGCAACAACUGGAAGAGACAUCCAUGGAGAAGAAAUAGAUACACGAGGAGACCUUUGCAAUCUUCUCCAUUCCUUGAGACAUCGAGAAAUGCGGUGCCCAUGUGGUUACGUGCCACAAGGCGGUUGCGUCUCUGCAGCUUCUCUCAUUAAUCAUGUUGGUAUACAUCUACCCCUGGGGGGUCUGAUGGUGUGAACAGCUCCUGGAAACCAGAAGCACAUGGGACAAGGGCCAGGUCCCAGUUAGAGGUUAGCAGUCAAUGUUAGCCUAAUAUUAGAAUCUUGCUGGAUUCAUCCUAAGAUGAAUACUGAAUGCUUUCCUGGAAAAUGCUUUUUAUCCCGGGAGUGCUGUUCUCAAUGUAGAGGUAUUGAGGAGAAAUUUAACGGCUGGUAUAUGCAUUAUCAGAUGAUCUCUCCUGGCCUUAUCCCAUAUAAUUUAAAAUGCAGUCAGUUAAAACAAAGUUCAGAGCUGCUGCAGGUGCCACAAAAGCUUUCUGAUAGUUUUGAUUUUUAAUCACAGAUCUCUCAAGUAUUUUCUACCAGACUGCUGUGUUGUGAAAGAGGGUAAGAAAUUGGCCAACCACAAGAAGGCAAAGGGAUGAAGGUAGUCUGUAUCUAAAAUUGUCAUAUGGACAAUGUAAAUAAUCUCAUAUCCCCUGUGUCCAGAAAUUUCGCUAAUUUCUCUAUGGUAUACAGCAUUAUUUGUAAAAAUGGUGAAGAUGCUUAGGUAGAAGUUAUACAUUUCUUUUAAGUUGAGGGUAGCUCUCCAAUCAGCAGUCCUAACUAGGCUAUUAGUUACAACAAUGUGUAAUCGUUUCAAGGCUCUUUGAGCAAGAUGUAGUGGGUGUUUGAUCUUGUAAUUAACCUGCUGCCAUUGGCCAUGCAUUCUCUCCACCCUGUAAUUACUUGUCUAAAAAAUAACACCAUUCAAACCAUACAUUGUACAGAAAAUUAAAAGAGCAUUAAUUUUAA